rnacentral:rRNA from 1 species
GUAGGUGGCAAGCGUUAUCCGGAAUUAUUGGGCGUAAAGCGCGCGCAGGCGGUUUCUUAAGUCUGAUGUGAAAGCCCACGGCUCAACCGUGGAGGGUCAUUGGAAACCGGGGAACUUGAGUGCAGAAGAGAAAAGCGGAAUUCCACGUGUAGCGGUGAAAUGCGUAGAGAUGUGGAGGAACACCAGUGGCGAAGGCGGCUUUUUGGUCUGUAACUGACGCUGAGGCGCGAAAGCGUGGGGAGCAAACAGGAUUAGAUACCCUGGUAGUCCACGCCGUAAACGAUGAGUGCUAAGUGUUAGAGGGUUUCCCGCCCUUUAGUGCUGCAGCUAACGCAUUAAGCACUCCGCCUGGGGAGUACGGUCGCAAGACUG